UACGUAGGGGGCGAGCGUUGUCCGGAGUUACUGGGCGUAAAGCGCACGCAGGCGGUCUGUUAAGUUUGGAGUGACAGUUGGUGGCUUAACUGCCAAAGUGCUUCGAAAACUGACAGACUUGAGGGCUUCAGAGGGACACGGAAUUCCGGGUGGAGUGGUGAAAUGCGUAGAGAUCCGGAGGAACACCAAAGGCGAAGGCAGUGUCCUGGGGAGUACCUGACGCUGAGAAGCGAAAGCGUGGGUAGCGAACAGG
rnacentral:rRNA from 1 species